rnacentral:misc_RNA from 1 species
AAUCGAUUGCAAAAAUUAGCAACUAAUUUACAAUCGCUUAUUAAAAUCGGUUGUUAUUCGCAAUCGAUUUCUUAUUAGUGGCUAAUAAUAAUCAAUUUUUAGAACUAAUUAUAAAUCGAUUGCUAAAUUUUUUCUCUCUAAUGUUUUUCCUUUUUUGAUUUGUAACCAAUUUGCGAAUCUGUUGCUAAUAGUAACUGAUUUUUACUACUGAUUUUGCAGCUAAUUUUUUCUCCAAAAAAUUAUAGACUAA